rnacentral:rRNA from 1 species
GAGCUUGCUCUUUGAUUCAGCGGCGGACGGGUGAGUAAUGCCUAGGAAUCUGCCUGGUAGUGGGGGACAACGUUUCGAAAGGAACGCUAAUACCGCAUACGUCCUACGGGAGAAAGCAGGGGACUUUCGGCCCUUGCGCUAUCAGAUGAGCCUAGGUCGGAUUAGCUAGUUGGUGAGGUAAUGGCUCACCAAGGCGACGAUCCGUAACUGGUCUGAGAGGAUGAUCAGUCACACUGGAACUGAGACACGGUCCAGACUCCUACGGGAGGCAGCAGUGGGGAAUAUUGGACAAUGGGCGAAAGCCUGAUCCAGCCAUGCCGCGUGUGUGAAGAAGGUCUUCGGAUUGUAAAGCACUUUAAGUUGGGAGGAAGGGCAUGCACCUAAUACGUGUGUGUCUUGACGUUACCGACAGAAUAAGCACCGGCUAACUCUGUGCCAGCAGCCGCGGUAAUACAGAGGGUGCAAGCGUUAAUCGGAAUUACUGGGCGUAAAGCGCGCGUAGGUGGUUCGUUAAGUUGAAUGUGAAAUCCCCGGGCUCAACCUGGGAACUGCAUCCAAAACUGGG